rnacentral:lncRNA from 1 species
UCUCUAGACAGCACCGGUGUUUCAGGAAAGAUAGAAGAUGGAAGUGAUAGCAUCAAGCUAGGGAGGAAGGAUCUCCACCCAAGAGAGGAAGAACAAGCACAUUUUGAUGACGAAAACAAGCCCGAUGACCGCUGGCAGAGUGACAACGAAGCUCGGAGCGAUGGCCAAGACAAUCAACUCAAGGGAGGUGAAGAGAAUGAGAAUGAGAAAGAAAAUGGGGAGAAUGAAGAUGUGAGUAGUAAUGAGGAGAAAAAUGAAGGGGAUAUCAAAGAGGUUACAAGUGAAGACAAAUUGGAGGAGAAUGUGAGUUUGGAGAACAAUAGUGAAGGUAAUGACAACGACACCACGGAGGAGAACAAAACUGAAGAAACUACAGGACAGAACGAGAGCACUGAGGAUACAACGGGGCCGAAUGAGAGCACUGAGAAUAAGAGUGAAGAAACUACGGGACAGAAUGAGAGCACCGAGAAUAAGAGUGAAGAAACUACGGGACAGAAUGAGAGUGAAGAGACUACGGGACAGAAUGAGAGCACCGAGAAUAAGAGUGAAGAAACCACGGGACAGAAUGAGAGUGAAGAGACCACGGGACAGAAUGAGAGCACCGAGAAUAAGAGUGAGGAAACCACGGGACAGAAUGAGAGCACGGAGAAUAAGGGUGAAGAAACAACG